rnacentral:rRNA from 1 species
GUGUCAGCAGCCGCGGUAAUACAGAGGUCCCAAGCGUUGUUCGGAUUCACUGGGCGUAAAGGGUGCGUAGGUGGCAGUGUAAGUCUGAUGUGAAAGCUUCGAGCUUAACUCGAAAAUGGCAUUGGAUACUAUAUUGCUGGAGGUUUGGAGGGGGGACUGGAAUUCUCGGUGUAGCAGUGAAAUGCGUAGAUAUCGAGAGGAACACCGGUGGCGAAGGCGAGUCCCUGGACAACACCUGACACUGAGGCACGAAAGCUAGGGGAGCAAACAGGAUUAGAUACCCUAGUAGUCC